rnacentral:rRNA from 1 species
GUAAAGCACUUUCAGUAGGGAGGAAGGUAGUGUAGUUAACACCUGCAUUACUUUGACGUUACCUACAGAAGAAGCACCGGCUAACUCCGUGCCAGCAGCCGCGGUAAUACGGAGGGUGCGAGCGUUAAUCGGAAUUACUGGGCGUAAAGCGCAUGCAGGCGGCCUGUUAAGUCAGAUGUGAAAGCCCGGGGCGUUAACCUCGGAAUUGCAUUUGUAAACUAGGCAGGCUAGAGUCUUGUAGAGGGGGGUAGGAAGUUUCAGGUGUAGCGGUGAAAUAGCGUAGAGAUCUGAAGGAAUACCAGUGGCGAAGGCGGCCCCCUCGGACAAAGACUGACGCUCAGAUGCGAAAGCGUGGGGAGCAAACAGGAUUAGAUACCCUGGUAG